UACAGAGGUCUCAAGCGUUGUUCGGAUUCAUUGGGCGUAAAGGGUGCGUAGGUGGCGCCAUAAGUCAGGUGUGAAAUCUCGGGGCUCAACUCCGAAACUGCACUUGAUACUGUGGUGCUCGAGUACUGGAGAGGAGAUUGGAAUUUACGAUGUAGCAGUGAAAUGCGUAGAUAUCGUAAGGAAGACCAGUGGCGAAGGCGAAUCUCUGGACAGUUACUGACACUGAGGCACGAAGGCCAGGGGAGCAAACGGG
rnacentral:rRNA from 1 species